rnacentral:rRNA from 1 species
CCUACGGGCGGCAGCAGUAGGGAAUCUUUCACAAUGGGCGAAAGCCUGAUGGAGCAACGCCGCGUGCAGGAUGAAGGCCUUCGGGUUGUAAACUGCUUUUAUAAGCGAGAAAUAUGAUGGUAACUUAUGAAUAAGGAUCGGCUAACUCCGUGCCAGCAGCCGCGGUCAUACGUAGGCUCCGAGCAUUAUCCGGAGUGACUGGGUGUAAAGAGUUGCGUAGGUGGCAUAAUAAGUAGCUAGUGAAAUCUGGUGGCGCAACCAUUCAGACUGUUAGCUAAACUGUUAAGCUCGAGACCGUUAGGGGUAACUGGAAUGGCUGGUGUAGGAGUGAAAUGCGUAGAUAUUAGAAGGAACACCAGUGGCGUAGGCAGGUUACUGGGACGGUUCUGACACUAAGGCACGAAAGCGUAGGGAGCAAACGGGAUUAGAUACCCUGGUAGUC